AUGGAUUUGUUUCUGCCACUCGUCUCAUUUAUUCUGAUUCUUGGAGGACAAGGUAGCCAGCAUGCGAGUUUUGCCGAUGCGGCCAAGAUGACGCUGACAAACAUGGAGACGCUGAUGGCGUACUGGGAGGCGGCGCUUCCAGGAAUUCCGAUUCCACCAGCUAUCAGCGACCUAUUAGCGCAACAAAAAGUGUGUGUUCCCUUAGAUGACGUUAUAAUUAGUCCCAGUAACCUCAAGUUUACUACAGGGCUGUCAAAAAUUGAACCAAACUAUGAGAGAGUCAAGUCAGAAGCUGGUCACAUGGACAACCAUGUUCAUAUCAUAUCACAAGUUGAAGAUCAUUUAAAGGAGGCCCAUGGGUCUCAUGGCGAACAAGGUAUAAAGAAGGCCAUGAUAGCACAUGAGCCAAAUAUUGGUAAGGAUCUGAAGACACAACCAUUGUCACAUGGGUUACAAGCUAAAAAUUAUGUAGAAGAAAAAAUUGCUGCGCAUAGAACAAAAAAUGAAGAAAAUCUAAAGGAAAUAUCAGUGUCAUAUGGGUCAGAAGGUGACAACAAUUUUAAGAAAGUUUCACUAAAUUUGAAGAAGAUCCUUGCAGCAUAUACACCUUUGAAAGAUGAAAACCUUAAGGAAAUAUCUGUGUCCUAUGGAUCAAAAGGUGGAGAAGCCCACAAAGAAGUUUCAGGGUCAUACGGGUUAGAAGGUGAACAUAAUUUAAAAGAAAUAUCACUGUCUUAUGGUAUAAACAGCAAUGAUACUCCAAAGGAAGAAUCUGCAUAUGAAGAAAAUGUAAAGGAUAUCUCAGUGUCAUAUGGGUUAGAAGGUUCAAAGAGUUUAAAGAAAGUUCCACUAAAUUUAAAGAAGAACCUUGCAGCAUACAAGGAAAUAUCUGUGUCAUAUGGAUCAAAAGGCCAAGAGAUUUCAAAGGAAGCAUCAGGAAUAUCUGGGUUAAAAGGAUCAUAUGGGUUAGAAGGUGAAAAGGAGUUAAAAGAAAUCUCAGUGUCUUAUGCCGCAGACGGCCAUGAAAAUCUAAAGGAAAUAUCCGUAUCAUAUGGAUCAAAGGACCAAAAAAUUGGCAAGGAAGCAUCAGGAUCGUAUGGGUUAAAAGGUGAAAGGGAUUUAAAAGAAAUCUCGGUGUCUUAUGGUGUAAAUGGCCACGAGAUUCUGAAGGGAGGCUCCACAACACAGGAAGAAAAUUCGAAGGAAGCUACUAUGUCAUAUGGGUCAGUCGAAGAGAAAGAUGAACAAUCCCACAUUCUGAACCAAGUAAAAGGAGAGGGGAGCCACCACCAUGUUCACGCUCAUAGCUACAAGAACAAGAAAGAGGCAGAUGUCUUUUUCUUCCACGACAUGUUGAGGCCAGGGUCCUUGGUCACACCGACAAUCCCGCCAACCACCUCCAUGCCAGCUCUUCUUCCCCGCGACAUCGCUGACUCCAUCCCAUUCUCCACCGAGCACCUCUCAGACAUCAUCACGAUGUUCGCGCCGGCGUCCCUCACGAUGACCAGAGAGAUACGGUGGACGAUGGAGACCUGCGAGCACCCACGGACGCUGCCCGGCCAGAAAGCAGGCUGCGCCACCUCCCUCGAGUCCCUCGCUGAGCUUCCGGCGUCCCUCCUUGGGAGGAGCAAUGUCCGCGCGUUCUCCGCCGUGGAUCUGCCCAUGGAUGACCCGGGAAAACCUGCGCUUAGGGGGAGGUACAAGGUGACGGCUGCACGGAAGCUCUCCGGGUCAUCAUCUGAGGUCGUAACCUGCCAUGACCUGACCUUCCCCUAUGGUCGAUGCUUCGCUAUAGCCAUCGGCGUUCUGUCACCAAAAGGCGAACAACCCGGCUCUGCCAUCGACGGGCGUCGUACAUCUGAUGCAGACAGCACGUCCGCUGGCGCCAUGUCAUGCGAACGAUUGGGUGCAAAGAGAUGGAGUCGUGAUCUUCAUCUUGACUUGGUCUUCGUUGCUUUCCUGGUCUUGCUAUCCACGGUGGGGAUGUUUGUUUUGCUCAAACUUGAGGAAAUUAACCCGAAGAAGAUUGUUGGUUAA
rnacentral:rRNA from 1 species